UGGGGAAUAUUGCACAAUGGGCGCAAGCCUGAUGCAGCCAUGCCGCGUGUAUGAAGAAGGCCUUCGGGUUGUAAAGUACUUUCAGCGGGGAGGAAGGUGUUGUGGUUAAUAACCACAGCAAUUGACGUUACCCGCAGAAGAAGCACCGGCUAACUCCGUGCCAGCAGCCGCGGUAAUACGGAGGGUGCAAGCGUUAAUCGGAAUUACUGGGCGUAAAGCGCACGCAGGCGGUCUGUCAAGUCGGAUGUGAAAUCCCCGGUCUCAACCUGGGAACUGCAUCCGAAACUGGCAGGCUUGAGUCUUGUAGAGGGGGGUAGAAUUCCAGGUGUAGCGGUGAAAUGCGUAGAGAUCUGGAGGAAUACCGGUGGCGAAGGCGGCCCCCUGGACAAAGACUGACGCUCAGGUGCGAAAGCGUGGGGAGCAAGCA
rnacentral:rRNA from 1 species